AAGAUGCAUUCAAUUCCUACAAUUCCUACCCUUAUAAUGAAGACAAACAGUAUGUUCUGGAAACGAACGGCACAUUUUGCACUCCUAAUAUAAGUGCAGCGAUCGUGAGGCAUUACCAUGGAAGGAUGGUGCACUGGGCUGCUGCCAAAGCGACUGCGGUCAUAUUUGGAUCUGCUCAUUUUUUAUAUUUCUCUCGAAAGGACCGCAGGAACAUGGAGGAACAUUUCAAGACAUGCCCAAUGUACAAAGAGAAAAACCACGAAGCCGGAACAAUUCUGGCUUGCUAGAUGCAGCCGGGAGUAAAGAACGAAGUACGUGCCU
rnacentral:lncRNA from 1 species